AAGAGUUUGAUCAUGGCUCAGAUUGAACGCUGGCGGCAGGCCUAACACAUGCAAGUCGAACGGUAACAGGAAGCAGCUUGCUGCUUCGCUGACGAGUGGCGGACGGGUGAGUAAUGUCUGGGAAACUGCCUGAUGGAGGGGGAUAACUACUGGAAACGGUGGCUAAUACCGCAUAACGUCGCAAGACCAAAGAGGGGGACCUUCGGGCCUCUUGCCAUCAGAUGUGCCCAGAUGGGAUUAGCUUGUUGGUGAGGUAACGGCUCACCAAGGCGACGAUCCCUAGCUGGUCUGAGAGGAUGACCAGCCACACUGGAACUGAGACACGGUCCAGACUCCUACGGGAGGCAGCAGUGGGGAAUAUUGCACAAUGGGCGCAAGCCUGAUGCAGCCAUGC
rnacentral:rRNA from 2 species